UGCAGUCAGAUCAAAACCUCCUUCGUCUUUGAUUUAAUGACAAUGGAUGAUUCUUGGAAACAACCCAGCAAUCUUUGGUUUUCAUUUACUUGACAAGAAGAUUUGAGAUGAAUGAAUUCUUUAAUUUUCUCACCAACAUGUCAGAAUAAGAACUUACCUGUACAGCUGUCCUUUCCAGUCUUGGAACUUGAAAGACUGCACAUGGCCAGCCAAAUGUAAUGUGCCUCCUAAAUGAUUCCCAUUCAUCCAGCAUCAAAUAUGAGAUUUGUUAAAUGUGUUUUUGGAAAUGAAAGAACUGAGCACGUUAAGGCUUUACAGGCAAGUAUUAGCUCUGUUUUGUUGUAUUCUUCAUGAACCUGCACAGCAACAACAGCUACUGAACAGGAAAGAAAUUGCCAACUGCAUGGGAUUUGCUGAGGAUUUUUCUGGAUGGACAUCAGGGGCUCAUUACUUCUGCCCAGUUACAAGCCUCUUUCUCUCAAGCUCUGUGAAAGGUUGCCCCUUUGAAUUUAAGGAGCUGUUUAUUGACUGA
rnacentral:lncRNA from 1 species